AACACAACAUCUCACACUCACACAAUUCAUUACCAACCAUCACGUAACAAGUUACAAUGAUCAUUACAUAAACAUUAUGCAAUAAAUACACUAAGACUCAAUUCUAUAUGCAAUGUGGUAUCAUGUCAAUGAAAAACCUCGUUGGGCGUCUAGAAUUGCAUGACAAGACAGACCACACAUUGGUAACACUGCUACAAAAAUUACUUUCUACGACAAAGAUUCUACUGACAAAAAUUACUUAGAAAGAAACACGAUGACAUUUUUGUAAAUAAAGGCAAUAACUUUACGAUGAUUUUACAAAACCGUCUUAGAAUAUUUUUCACUCUUUUAAAUAUUUCGUUUCUCCCACACUCUCCCGUGCUCUCACUCUUUGACUUCCCUUUCUCUCUUCGAUUCCCCCCUUUAGGGUUCGUCGUCAUUGCAGUGUCGCGAAAGGGACUAAACCCUCACUAGAAGAGUCUCCUCAUCCUCGUCCUCUUCCACGAUGAGUGUCCACAUGACAUUCCUAGACGGCUCGGUGAACGUGAACUCCCUUUUCACGACCACCAUCUUCGUGGGCCUCUCUCUCACCACCUCGGGGCCAGUGCAGCCUCGAGAACCACUCCUCAUGCAUCGCCAAUGUUGACGUAGUCAAGAAGCUCCUCGUCUUCGAAGUGGUGUUGUUUAGCUUCUUCCUCUUCUCAUCACUAGUGCCACAAAGGCUAAAGCUGGCGUUGAAUCUACUUAACAACAAGGACGCCGAUGAGGCCUUCCAGGCCCACAUCAACCUCAAGGCCCUAAGGCUCGACAUGCUAGGCUCCGCCAUUGGCUUCGUCUUGGGCUGCCUCUUUCGAUUGGGAAUAUUGUCGUGUGGGAGCAAGGGCACCACGCACGUCGUGACCGUGAUAGUCGUGUUGGUCUCCUCCGCUCUCGUGGUUUAUAUUUCCAUUGCCCUUCUUUCUUUUAUUUGUUAGAUGUAAUGGUUUGGAUGAUGAUUUUUUACAUAGGGAGAUGACUAGAAAGAGGAUAUAGAUCAAGAAAAUCAACAACAUUAGUUCAAGGCAAAUGACUUUGUCCAAGAAAAGGAAAAGGGCUUUUCAAGAAGGCUCAGGGAAGUACCUUGCCAAGAGGAACACUCUUGGAUUGUUCUGCAUCAAUAAAUUGUCUAUGCUAUUGGAUUAAAGUACACAUGUCUCAGGUGAUGGUGGUGAGUCCUGGAAUGAUUUGGUGCAAAAUUAUGCUAAAUGGUGGGAUAAUAGAUUAAAUAAGGUGAGCCCAUUUUCUGUUUUGUCUAUGUGUUCUUAAAUCUUUACAAGUUUAUAUUACUUUAUUAGAUUUUUUUUGUAUUGAGUUAGUAGUUCAUUUUGAUUGUUAGAGGAAUGUAAAAGCUCCCGAUUUCAAGCACAAAGAAACCGGUAAAGGGUUGUGGCUUGAUUCUUCAUCAGAGUGGGUGUUGGAAAAAUUGAUGCCACCUCCAAAGCCUAAAUUGUGUUUAUGACUCAGACUAUUAAAUAUAUUUGUAACUUUUUAUAUCAAAUUUGAAUAUAAAUACUAGAAUAUUAUCAUUAUUGAUAUUUAUAAAUUAUAAAUUAUAACAAUUUUUUUUGGAAGGCUCAGUACAAAAUGUUUUUCAAUUUUAUAUUUAUGUGUUUGAAAAAGAAUAUUGCAGUUGAAUUGUUGAAGUAUGACAAUUCAAAGAACUUUUUCUUUAAUUUUUAAGAAGAAAAAACUCAAUAAUUUAAGAAGAAAAAGUUUAAUUUUUGUACUAGGUAGGGGAACCUAUGCUUUAUUUAUGCUUUGUUGAGUGAGGAGACGUAUGUCUUCAUCUAACAGUGAAAACUUUUGAAAUUGUUAGUUUUUGACACCAAUGUUAUCAAUAUUUGUGAAUUUAAAUUGGUUCCCUUAGUCUCUUUUGUUGAAAUCGAGCAGCUACAACUUGUUUUCUUUGUAUCAUGUAUCACUUAUACUAUUACUCUUCCAUUUCAUUCAUCCUUUCUUUUUUUUCCUAUCAUUUUGCCAUUAGUCAUUUCAUUUUCUAAGAGGUUAAGUCCAAUCUUACAUAAGGGGUUAGCUGGAGUACAAGGACUAAACAUGGAUUAGCAAACAUCGCCAGGUGUCCCAAGCUCUCGCAAUGUGAAGAUGAUAUUGCGCUUGGAUAUUGCUAAUGAUAGCUAUCCAAAUGUAAGAAGAUAUGUAGAACAUUUUAAUGCCUUUUGUUGUAACCUUAUGCAGGUUUAUACCAUGUAUUGUUGUAAUAAUUUUAUUGUGUUCUGCUGAGCUUUGAGUCACUAAGCUUAGCAUAAAUUUCAAUUCAAUUUGGUUGGAUAGCUUCUUAGCCCUAGGGGUAAUUUCAGUUCAAUUUGUCGUGUAUUUAUCAGAGGGGGAGGUUCAAUAAAAGAACUAGAUAAGGUAUCAUCUCUUCUUUAGUGGAUUGUCUUACAAGUUGCGAAUCCUAAGAACCUAAUUUAAUGUCAUAGUUGCUUCUCCUUUCAAUUUGCUUUUAAGGUGCUCUUAAGGUAUUCUUAAAGUGCUUAAUGUUCCCUUUACCAUUUUAGUUCUUGUUUGUUUUUGAUUUUUUUGUUAUGUGUUGGAGCUAAUGACAAGAUUUCAUAUUUUCCUUGAAUUAGGCUGUGGAGAAUGUUAAUUCAAUUAUAACACCUUCUCUUCUUGGCAAGGUAUUAUGCAACUACAAAAUUGGAUUAUGGCGUAUUGUUUGAAACAUGUUAGUGGUGGAUGAUUGAUUUCGUCUGUUAUUGUGUUUUCUGCUUUUACAGGACCCAACCAAGCAGACUGAAUUUGACAAUUUUAUGGUACAACAACUUGAUGGAACUGUUAAUGAAUGAGGGUGGUGUAAGCAGAAGGUAUCACUAUGUUUUUUUUUUUAUCUUGUUGGGUUUGGCGACUAUGUCUUUUGUAGCUAUGUUGGCGAUCCAUUUUAAGCUAAUCUGGUUUUCACAAUAUUGAAAUUUUCAGCUUGGAGCUAAUGCUAUUUUGGCAAUGUCACUAGUUGUCUGUAAGGCUGGUGCUGCAGUGAAGAAAAUUCCUCUGUACAAGGUAUGUGAAUUUUUUCUGUUGUGCUCAUGAUGGGUCGUUUUUACUCUAUUUCAAGGAUUAUUACAAAGUGUUGAAGGUUGAAUAUGAUGCAAUCGAAUGCUAUUUUGGCAGUAUCACUAUGUUCUUUGAUUAAAAGUAACAAAAUAUCAUUUUGCAAAAAAAUAUUUUUCAUGUACAAGUUAAUAUAUGUGAGACACAAGUGACAGUUUAAAAAUAAAAUGAAUUACAAUGUAUAAUUGAUUGCAUGAUAAAUAAUUUAAAAAUUUUGUAUCACUUAUCACUAUGACUCGAUUGUGUUCUUGUAGGUACUAUAUGAAAGAUGUCGUCCUUAAAGGGGGUAUUCCAUUUAACAAAGCAUAUGGAAUGACAACCUUUGAAUACCAUGGAAUAGAUCCAAGGUUUAACAAGGUUUUCAACAAGGGGAUGGCUGAUCACUUUACAAUUACAAUGAAGAAAAUUCUUGAGACCUACACUGGCUUUGAGGGCUUAAAUCUCUGGUUGAUGUUGGUGGAGAAACUGGAGUUGUAGCCCAUAAGACAGGCCCAGCGCGCCAACUCGAUCAGCGGCUAGAACAAGCUUAGCACAAAGAAUGCCCAUGAAGAAGCCCAAAGACGCGCUAAGCGCGUGAUCACCAUCAUAUCCGCUAUGCCCAGAAGGGCACGCUUAGUGCGAGGUCGCGUGAACUUUAAGCUACCUUAGGCCUAUAAAAGGAGUAGGAAGCAAAGGAGAAAGACACACUGAGACUCAAAGCUCUAUAUUGAAUACACCCAAAGCCUUGGACAUGUCUAAUAGGGGAAACCCUCUUUCUAUAGCUAUUUUUUCCUUUAUCUUCCUUUAUCCAUCCCUCUUCUUCUUCCAUCCUCAUCAACCCCUAAAGUGUAAAGUCUCUCAUGGCAAUGAGAGGCUAAACCCCCAUUGUUGGGACCUGACAAGCCAAACUUUUGUCAUGUAACUAUUCCUUACUAUCUAUUUAAGGAAAUUUCAGAUUUUAUUGUUCCUUUCUGUGCUUUAUUGUUAUUGAUUGUGGUUUGAUCAUCCAUGCUCAUGUAUUAUUUCGAAAGUAAUGCAUUGGAAAAUAGUUAUUUUCUACUGGGAGGGAAAAUAGAUAAAUUAGGCUCUUCAUGCGGGGAACCAAAGAUAAAGUAUCAUAGUAGAUGCAGGUAAAUAUUGAGAUAACAUUAGAUAGAGAAAAAUUAUUAAUAUUGCAUCACAAGUAGUUUUGGCAUGUUAGGUCCCAACACAUUUACAUUUUGAAUUCAUCUUUCACAUUCAAAUUAUUGCUUAUUUUUCUUGUCUUCUUAUCUUUUACUUUGCCCUUUAAAUUUUCACUUACGAUUUCUUAUCUCUUCUAUUGCUUGAAAAUUGAGUUUGCAUCAAUCUAAGUACAAAUAAAGUCUCUCUUGACUUGACACUCAGACUUUUGUUUUACUUUACUACUUGUGAUAAUUUGGUACACUUGUCAAUGAGUUAACACAUAUAUGCAAUGUAACUCUCAUCUAAUGUUAGUUAUCAUUUACUUAGAUUGAAAAAAAAAUUGACAGUGGUUUAAGUUGAUAUUAUUAUUAUUAUUAUCAUUAUUAUUAUUUCAGAAUAUAUGAAAUUGAAAUAACAUGUGACUAGGAAUAGAAAUUUGAGAUUGAUUGCAAGAAAUGUAUAUGAAAUUUUUAAUUUUUUUAAAAAAACAUUCUAAGACGAUUUUUCAGAGAAACGCUUUAGAAUUCUCAAUUUUGUUAUUUUUUAAAAAAUACAUUCUUAGACGAUUAUUUGCCUUAAAACCGUUUUAGAAUGUUAACUUUUCUAAGACGGUUUAUUAAGAACCAUUGUGGAAAAUAAAAAUUUUCCACGACAUUGUCUUCAAAGACGGUUCAAAAUCAUCUUUGAAUGUGCCAUUUAACCGUCGUCAAAGGUACACUUUCCAGUAGUGUAAGUUAGGUCACUUUCACUAGGUAAAAUCAUAGGGAGACCAGUCAGGGUCAUGCUGUUUUGGGAGAAUGCUCCAACUAUGUGGAAUUGACACAGACUUAAAGGAGUACUCAAAUCGAGUGUAUUUAUCCCCAAAACCUAAACUCCAAAGAAUCUAUUAGAGUUUUUCCCUCCUGAUUCAGGUCCAACUCAGAAAAAAAUUUAACACACAGAAACGCACGACUUCUCAAUUGUUUUCAAAAUAAUUUUAACUCGUCGCGCCUCAAAGUGAUUAAAUUCGUUAGUUCCCACAGUGGAUUUCAUCACAAUACUAAUCACGCAUUAAUUCAUCGCCCUUAAAGGGUCUUACAGUCGUGUAAUUGUAUGAUUCAUAGCUCACAACUCAAUGCAUACAAUAUCUCAAUACACAUGUAUCUUACAAUUCAACAUGUACUCAAUCUAUCACAUACACCCAAUCUAAAUCAUAAUGUUAUAAUCUCAAAGCAAUACGUUGUCACACCUCAUGAAUCGUAUACAAAUCACACAAUAUUAAUAUACACAUGGCACAAACACAAACUUUACCUAUGAACUAUGCAAUACACACAACUACUCAAUUGUUUUCAAAAUCAUUUUAACUCGUCGCACCUCAAAGUGAUUUAACUUGUCGGGUUCCUACAAUGGAUCUCAUUACAAUACUUGUCGCCUUUAAAGGGUCUUACAAUUGUGUGAUUGUACAGUUCAUAACUCACAACUCAAUUUAUCACUUACACACAAUCUCAAUCAUAAUGUCAUAAUCCUAAUAUAACAAUUUAUCACGCCUCAUAAAUCAUAUACACAUCACACGGUAGUAAUAUUUACAUGACACAAAACACACACACACACACACACACACACACACAUAUUAAAUCGAACUAUAUUAUUUUCAAUUAAAAAGAGUUUAUUUUAAUAUAGCAUUACAAUACCUUUUUCAAUCUACCGCAAUAUGCAAAACAAAGAGGGCUUUUUUUCUUUUGACCAUUUAUUCUUUAUCAUAGUAUAUGAAAUUCAAACACAAACUCAUAACACAGAUUAACUAGUAAAGACAUCAUAUUAAUCAUUCAGUUUCAUCAAUUCAUGUUAAUUAGAAUAAAACUCAAUUUCUAGAGUUCACACUCAACACAAGAACACAUCAAUUUCAUAGUAAUUUCGCAUUGGGACAUCAAUUGAUCCGUCAAACAUGUAUAAUUCACAGUUAUAGUUGUAAAGAUAGAAUAAAAAUUGCAGAAACACCCCAAAACCCAUCUCAAUUGUUCCUCUAAGGAUCUCUACAAAUGUUCUCACUACUUCUCAAUUAUGAAUAACUCAUCCCUUACCUCUAAGCAAACCCACGUGUGUAGUACGGUAGCGAUAGUGAAAUCUCUAGUGCUUUCCUAAGAUUCCUCAAGCUUUUUCUCUAGUUGUUUUGCAUUGCUAGGGUUUCCAAGCGUUAGAGAGAAGGAGAAUGGAUUGGAGACUUAAUUUCACUAUCUCUGUGCGAGGGGUAUUUCUCUCUAUAUAGACAAUAUUUUAUAAAUCCCGACGGUGAGAAUGUGCAAAAUUGAGGUGUCCAAAUUUUAGGAUGAUCCAAUGGUUAAGUAAUCCAAGAUCGUAGUUUUACUUAGGACAAAUUUGGGUGUAUGUGAAAAAAAGAGUUUUGGGAGAGGAAGAAGGGAAAACAAAUUUGGGAAGAAGAAAGAGUAUAGAGACACAUCAUAAUUGUAAAAACUUAUCUAAUAUGUCUUUAUUUAUAGCUAGGGUACUCUGAGGCUAUUAUUUACUCUAUUUUCUAUAUUUUAUUAUUCUAUAAAAAGAAACUCUAUUUUACUCUUUCAUUAAAUAAAUAACCAAUUAAAAUAUUCCUUUAUUUUCUAAAAUAUCAUUUUACUCUAUUUAUUUUCUAAUACUAUGAAACCCUUAUUUUAAUUAACAAAAAUACUUUCCUCUCAUUUAUUUAAUUUCUAAAAACUUUAUUAAUUUUUAAAUAAAACUCCUUUUAUUUAUUUUAUGAAAAACGAGAUGUUACACUACCAAUGAAUAUAAAAUAGACUCUGAUAUUAUGUAAGAACGUGGAUUUUGAGCCUAAGUCAACUUUACAAAGUGGAUUUUAUAUAAUUGAGUUAGAAUCAAAAUUCAUUUUCUAACAAGAAUGCAUCUCUUCCUAAAAAUAUUAAAUGAAAACUAACUUUUUAAAGAAACAUUAUAGACUAAUAUAUAUUUUGGUUUAGUACCACCGUAAUUAAGGUCUUAGAUUCCCAGUGGUACAUCAAGGUAUUCCCACAAGCUUGAGUCUUUUGAAUCGGCUAUCAGAUUAAUCAUUGGUCGGGACUGAAUCACAUUUAAAGUUCUUUAUCCCUCCUUAAAAAUAUAUUCUGUGAAAAUCAAACUCAGAUAUAGAGAAUAUGUGUGUGUGUGUGUGUGUGUAUAUAUAUAUAUAUAUAUAUAUAUAUAUAUAUAUAUAUAUAUAUAUAUAAUUCAUAUGCAUAAUCUUUUCUUUUGUUGUGGUUUUAGUUUCGCCCAAGCACACAUGUGCCUGAGCAUCAACAUUAUUGAGAGGAAAGAUAGACCAAUUAGGAAAUCUUGUAAGAUUGAAACCGGUUAUCAUGACUGGAUUGGGGGUAUUUUGUGAGUGAGUCAGGAUCAUUUUAGUGAGUAAUUAGUUAACUCACAUGACUCGGUCUAUAUUAAAAAAAUUAAUAAAUAAUUUAAUAACAUGUAAAUUUGUACACUUAAGAUUUAAAGUUUAAUAAAAUUUUAAUAUAUUUAGAAGCAUAAUUAUGAACUUGUUUAAAAUUUUGACCAUGUAAUAUAUUUUUUUAAAAUUCGGUAUAUAUAAAUAACCUUGAGUUUGAAUUUAAAAUAUAUAUUAUUGUUAUACAACGACAAACAUAAUUCAAUACACACAUGUUAGUCAAAGGAAAAUUGAAAUGGUAACAACUUUAUCAUCUCAAUUUCAAUAUGUGGUUAUGUUUGGUAAAAAAAUAUAUAUGCAAAUCUAUAAACAAUACAAAUGUAAGAUAUAUAUAUAUAUAUAUAUAUAUUUUAAUAUGAGUGAUGUUCAAGUGUAUAAAAAAAUUGCAUGAUCCACUAAGUCAACUAGAUCACCAAAUCACUUGAUCGUGCCAAAUCACAUUGGGUCAUAUGUGGAACCGAUCCAACAACUGGGUCGAAUUGGUUGGGUGCCAACAGAUAGACCUGACAGAUUCGAACUGAGUUUAAUAAUUAUACUUAAAAAAAUAAUGAUAUACAAAUAUCUUAUCAUUUUAAACACUUUUCUAAUAUCUCUCAUUUUUCUUUAUCUCUUUUUUUUAUUAUAUCAUAAAUUCUCAUAUAUAUAUAUAUAUAUAUAUAUAUUCCUCUCUAGAUGUUAAAUAAGGCAAUGGUUGUUCAUGUAACAUUUUUCUUCACAAAAUCUGGAUCUGCGUUUGUCUAUUUUCUUGUUUCUCGGUCACAUUAAAAAUAAAAAUAGAAAGAGAGAUUUUUUUUAUUAAAAAAAAUAACAAUUGAAGCACAGAUAUAGACAGGCGGAACAAUUUUUUUGAUAAUGAUAAUAAUGAAAAAAAAAUAGUCCGAAUGAACGGAAAUAAAAUAAUUAAUGAGAAUUUUAAAAGGUUUAACCACUUUUUAUUGGUGAUAAAAUACUUUUUAGCAAUUGAGAUUAAUUGUGUAAAAAACUUUCUAUGAGAUCGCAGCAAGUGUAUCAAACUGAUAAGCAGUAAUAAUUUAAAGAGGUAAAGUUUGUGUAUUGUUAUUAUUUAUUGAAGGCAAUUUACAAUUUAUAAACACAAUUCUUGUUAAGUAACUAAGUAAGGGUGCCAAAUAAAUGGAUAUAAUAAAGUUUUAUUCAUAAUGUAAUAUACAAAUAAAAAAACAUUCCAUUAAUCUAUUUUUAUUCAUUAAAAAUUCAUUCUAAAAACGUAAUCCAUUUAUGAUUCAUGUAAUAAAUAUCAAUCCAUUCAUUACUUUUUUUUUUAUACUAAAAUUUAGGUGAGUUAGUCUCGAGAGCUCACCAAAAUCAGGACACAUUUCCAGGCUCAAAAGCGUAUAUAAGGAUACUUAUAAUUACCUACUGGAUUAAUCUUUAUUGAUUAGAUGAAUAUCCAAUCAAUCUAUAAAAUUAUUUUUAAAAAUUAUAUACUCCUUUUGUUCUCUUUUAUUAGCAAAAACAAUUGAAUUCUUUUGUUUUCAAAUAUAAGUAAAAUUUAACUGCUUUUAUUUUAUUUAAUGAUUUUUUUUAUAAAAAAAAAUAUCCUUCAUUUAACAUAGAGUUUCUGCUUAAUAUCAAGUUUCCAAGGAAGAUAAUUUAAAAAAAAAAUGUUUUUGUUUAUUUAGAAAUGACAUAAUUUAAUGAAUUGAAUUAAUUUUCGUAAUACGUGUAAAAUCUUUUUUUUCUUAUAAAAGAGAAUGUAAUGAGUAUAUUUUAUAUUUAUAACAUUAUUUAAUUGUUUAAUAUUCUAUCUGCUCUCUCUCACUUCUCUUUCUCUUUUUUUCUCUCUAUACACAUUUGAUCUCAUGUGUAUUUUUUGUAAAAGUGUACAUGACUUUUGAAAAAAUUUUCUUGAUUGAAAUUAUUCCAUGUUGUGCGUCCGUUCUUUUUUUUUUUUUUUUGUGAUGCUGAAAAUGAUUUUGGUAAUGGACCUAACGGUAGUAAAAUUUUGUUUAAAUUUGUGCGGGAAUUUUAAUUGCUCUGAUACACCAAUAUUGAACCGAGAGAGUUGAAAACUGUUUAGUUUUUGCUUUGUAAAUUGAAGAAAUUGGGUUGCAUUGCAACGAGAAGAAGUUGAUGACGAUACAUGUACUCCAGCACAAGUGUGACUUUGGAUUGUUAGUGCUCUUAGGAAAGAUAAAAAUUGUUUCACUGGACCCAACUAUUUGGGUUGGAGCAUCAACAACUUGAAAACGUAUUUUUCCCUCUGGGCUUUACUUACUAUUUGCACCCCCAAAUUCUUAUUAAAACCUUUCACUUUUCAGAAUACUUUUUGACAAAAAAUACUGUUGACGUUUGAGAUUCCCAAAACAACAAAAAAUAUUUUUAAUUAAAUUUUUCACUGCAUUAUUUUAAUUAAAAUUAAAUUUUCACAUAAAUUACUUUUUUAAUUAAAAUUAAAUUAGUGGUGACAUAAGUUCUCAUUUUUAACAUAAUCGAAUGGACUACGAUACAAAUGAUCUUUUCUAGUAGUAAAUAAAUUAAUUUUAAUAUAAAAUAUAUUUUUUAAAAUUUAUCAUAAUUAAUUUGAUUACUAAUAUUAUAAAUGGUAAAUUUUACUUUAAUUAAUUCAGUUUCAAUUAAAAAAAAUAGUUAUAUCAUACUUAUUUUGAUUACUAUUAAAAAUGGUAAAUUAUUUGUAAUUAAUUUAAUUUCAAUUAAAAGGUAAUUUAUAUAAAAUAAUUUAAUUACUAUUAAAAAGAUAACUCUUAAAAAAAGUAAUUUUUAUCUAGAUUUAAUUAACUUACUUUUGUUGUUAUCUGACAAGAAAACUUGUUUUCAAAAUAUUGCGAGCAGUGGCGGAUGCACAUUAUAUGCUAUGGGGCAAUUGCCCCCAUAAUUCUUUUAUUUGUUAAUGUAUAUAAAAAACUUAUAAAAAAUUUAUAUAUUAUCCCCAUUGGAAUUUUUUAACCCAAAACUCAAACAAAAAUAAAACAUUCAAUACAAAAUCUACAUGCUCAAACUUAAAUCAUUUAGCCCAAUUCUCAUUAUUGUUAGAGUAACACAAAAAAUGUUAAAAUUCAAUAGAAAAAAUAAGCUAGUUAUUGAUUGAUAUAGAGUUUUGCCACGUGUAAUAAGUACUCUCUUAUAUGCUGAACCACUUGGAGUAUCAGCUGUGUGCAAACAGAAAUAAAAAUUAGUUGUAACUGUUUUCCCCUUUCUCUCUCUUGUUCUUGGAAAAGUAUGUGCAUGUAUUUGCGUGUAUGUGCGUGAUUCUUUUUUCUUUGAUGAAUUCAUACUCCAACAAACGGUAUCCAGAGCAGGUUGUUGAAGUGUGAUCAUCGAUUGAAAGUGAGGUGAGUGAAACCUAAACACGAGAGACGGUAAGCGAGUGAAAACACGAGAGGCGGUGAGGAACCUUAUCAAUGGCAACGACGAACGGAAACUUUCCGGCGAACUUUCCUGUUCUUGAUGGGAGAAAUUAUGACCAGUGGAGUAUGAAGAUGAAGGCGAUCCUCAGUUAUCAAGAUGUGUGGGAUCUGGUGGUGAACGGACUUGAUCCGUUGCCGGUGAAUCCAACCGCUGCGCAACAAGCGAUAUACAGAGAUGCGAAGAAGAAGGAUUGCAAAGGUUUGUGCAUUCUGCAUCAGUGUGUGAAUCAAGCAAUUUUCGAGAAAAUUGCGAGAUCGGAGACGAGCAAAGCGGCGUGGGAUGUUCUCGCGAGCUCCUACGCCGGUGAUCAGAAAUUGAAGAAAGUACGGCUUCAAACUCUAAGGCGACAGUAUGAAUUGCUAGGCAUGGAAGAGAGUGAGACAAUUGCUACCUAUUUCACUCGUGUUCAAACCAUGACAAAUCAAAUGCAAUCGUGUGGUGAAACUCUGUCUGAUGAGAAGAUUGUUGAGAAGAUAUUACGAUCGGUGCAUUUGCGAUUUGAUCAUGUCACGGUAGCGAUUGAAGAAUCGAAGGAUCUAUCAACGCUAAAAUUGGAGGAGCUGCAAGGAUCACUUGAAGCACAUGAACAACGAAUGAAUGAAAGGAAGUCUGUGAAGCCUAGCACUGAACAAGCACUCAUGGCAGAAAGUGGAAACAGAAGUCGUGACAAUCAAGGAGGACGUGGCAGAAGUAGAAACAAUUACAGAGGAGGAAAAGGCAGAGGUAACAAUUGUAACUCAAACUCUGGUAGAAGAAACUCUAGUAAUAAUUACAAUAGUGAACAAAAGAACAAUAGCAGUGAAAAUUAUAGAAGAAGAGGUGGAAGAGGUGGUAGAGGAAGAGGUGGAAGAGGAGGAAGAAAAACUGAUAAGAGUCACAUUCAAUGCUAUAAUUGUGAGAAAUACGGUCAUUUUGCCGAUGAAUGCUAUAGUAAUCCAAGCCACACUGAUGCAAGAUUGGCUCAAGAAGAAGAUGAGAAGGAGGAAAUUCUGUUAAUGGCAGUAGAGGAGGAAAUUGGUGAUGAUGGAGUGGAAGAAGUGAGAAAGGAGAAGGUAGAUAUAGAAGAAGUGUUAUAUAUGGUGACUGUGAAGGAUGAGAGUGAUCAUGGUGAUAACUGGUUUCUUGACACUGGGUGUUCAACACACAUGUCAGGAAAGAAGGAAUGGUUUGUUGAGAUAGAUUUCACAGUCAAAAGCAGGGUGAGGUUUGCUGAUGACAGGACUAUGAAGGUUGAAGGUGUAGGAAAGGUGAUGAUUAAGAAGAGAGAUGGAUCUAAAUGCUUUAUUUCUGGAGUGUUGUAUGUUCCAGGAAUGAAGAGCAAUCUUCUGAGCAUUGGACAGCUACUGGAGAAAGGGUACAAGAUGGUGUUGGAGGAUUGUGCCAUGAAGGUGUAUGACAAUGAGAGGAGAUUGUUGAUUAAAGCAAAUUUGUCAAAGAAUAGAACAUUUAAAGCUGAGCUAGAUGUUCUAGUGCAACAGUGUUUAGCAUCAACAAUUGACAAGGAAGAAUGGCUAUGGCAUUUUCGUUAUGGUCACUUAAACUUCACUGAUCUGAAUAGGUUACAGAGUAAGGGAAUAGUGAAAGGAAUUCCUCAUAUCAAGGUGCCAAAUGAUGUAUGUGGAGAAUGUAUAAAAAGCAAGAUGUCCAGAAACUCAUUCAAUCAAAAUGUAUCCACAAGAUCCAAGAGGAAGCUGCAAGUUGUUUUUUCUGAUGUAUGUGGACCAAUUCAACAUAUGACUCCUGGAGGUAACAAAUACUUUGUUACAUUUAUAGAUGAGUUUAGUAGAAAACUUUGGAUUUACUUGAUUAAGAGGAAGAGUGAUGUGAUUGAAGUAUUCAAGAAAUUCAAAGUUUCAGUGGAGAAAUAGUGUGGAAAAAAUUUAGAGAUAUUAAGAACGGAUGGUGGGGGUGAAUAUGUAUCUGCUGAGUUUGCUGAAUUUUGUGAGAAAGAAGGCAUCACACAUGAAGUAACACCUCCAUACACUCCUCAACAUAAUGGAGUAGCUGAGAGGAAGAAUAGAACUUUGUUAAACAUGGUGAGGAGCAUGUUAAAGAGCAAGAAACUACCAAAAUAUUUGUGGGGAGAAGCUGUGAACACUACUGCAUACAUCUUGAACAAAAGCCCAACUAGGAAAUUGGAAAAUAUAACACCUGAGGAAGCUUGGACAGGAGUGAAACCAAGUGUGUCUCACCUCAGAGUGUUUGGAUCUAUUUGUUAUAGACAUGUACCUGACCAACUGAGAACUAAACUUGAUGAUAAAGGAGAAAUGAUGAUAUUGAUUGGAUAUCACUCAACUGGAGGUUAUAAAUUGUUGAAUCCAGUGAACAACAAGAUAGUGAUAAGCAGGGAUGUAGUGGUGGAUGAAAGCAAGGAUUGGGAGUGGAAUGUCACACCAGAGAUAGAAAAACAGAAUCAAGUUGAAUUGCAACUUGAAGACAGUGACACUGUGACUGUGCAAGAAAAUGAAACUGGAGAAGGCAGUGCUGAGGGGCCAAGAAGAUCUUUGAGACAGAGACAAGUCCCUCAAAGAUUAAAUGAUUUUGAAAUGUUGAAUGAUGGUGCAAUUAAUGAUGAAGGUGAGAUAGUGCAUUUUGCACUACUAGCUGAAUCUGAGCCACUAAAAGUGGAAGAAGCAAUGCAGAAUAAGAAAUGGAUUAAAGCUAUGAAUGAAGAGCUUAAUUCCAUAGAAAAGAAUAAUACUUGGGAGUUAGUGGAACUACCAAAGAAUAAGAAAGCCAUUGGAGUGAAGUGGGUGUAUAAGGUGAAAGUAAAUCCCAAAGGAGAAGUGGUGAGGUAUAAGGCGAGAUUAGUAGCAAGGGGAUUUCUCCAAAGGCAAGGCAUUGACUAUGAAGAAGUAUUUGCACCUGUGGCCAGAUUAGAGACAGUGAGAGUGGUGGUGGCACAUGCAAGUUUGAGAGGGUGGAAACUACAUCAAGUUGAUGUAAAAUCAGCAUUUUUGAAUGGUGAUUUACAAGAAGAAGUGUACAUUGAUCAACCACCUGGGUUUGUAGUGAAAGGCAGUGAGAGAAAGGUGUUCAAAUUGAGGAAGGCUCUAUAUGGGUUGAAACAAGCACCACGUGCUUGGAACAUGAAAAUAGAUAAGAGCUUGACCAAUUUGGGUUUUGUGAAAUGUAGGUCUGAGUAUGGAGUGUAUGUGAAGUCAGGGGGUGAAGACAUUACGAUGCUAUGCCUUUAUGUUGAUGAUCUGUUAUUGACAGCCAACAAUGAAGUAAAAGUGAAUGAAUUUAAGAAAAAUCUAAUGGAUGAGUUUGACAUGACUGACCUGGGUGAGUUGUCAUAUUUCCUUGGAAUUGAAUUCAAGAAGUGUAGUGAAGGAAUUGUUCUCACACAACAAAAAUAUGCUACUGAUAUUCUGCAUAGAUUCAAUAUGCAACACUAUAACAGUGCUGAAACACCUGCAGAAGCUGGAUUGUGGCUCAAUAGAGAUAGUGAAGAGGACUUAGUAGAUGCUACUGAGUUUAGAAGGAUUGUUGGGGCAUUGAGAUAUCUCUGCAACACCAGACCUGAUCUGGUUUUCAGUGUUGGUCUGAUUAGCAGAGUCAUGGAUAGGCCUAGAGUAUCACAUCUCAAUGCAGCAAAACGAAUAUUGAGAUAUGUGAAAGGAACAAUUGGUUAUGGAAUUUUGAUGCCCAUUAACCAUAGUGAAAAUACAAGAAAUCUAUAUGGCUAUACAGAUGCUGAUUGGUGUGGAGACAAAAGUGAUAGGAAGAGCACUGCUGGGUUUGUUUUUCUAAUUGAUUCAGCACCAAUUUCUUGGAGCUCGAAGAAGGAAUCUGUGGUUGCACUUUCAUCGUGCGAGGCUGAAUACAUUGUUGCUACAAUGGGAGCUUGUCAAGCAGUGUGGCUUGAUACUUUGAUGCAGGAACUGAAGAUCAAAGAAGAAGGUCCAGUUGAGCUAUAUGUAGAUAACAAAUCUGCAAUCAAGUUAGCCAAACAUCCAAUUGCACAUGGAAGAUCAAAGCACAUUGAAACCAAAUUUCAUUUCAUAAGAGACCAAGUUGCGAAGGGGAAAUUCAAGUUGAAGUUCUGCAGAUCAAAAGAUCAGCUUGCAGAUAUAUUUACCAAGUCCUUGAAAUUUGAAACCUUCAAGAAACAGAGAAGCAUGCUGAAUAUUGUUGAUAGCAGGAAACUAGCUUAAGGGGGUGUGUUAAAAUUCAAUAGAAAAAAUAAGCUAGUUAUUGAUUGAUAUAGAGUUUUGCCACGUGUAAUAAGUACUCUCUUAUAUGCUGAACCACUUGGAGUAUCAGUUGUGUGCAAACAGAAAUAAAAAUUAGUUGUAACUGUUUUCCCCUUUCUCUCUCUUGUUCUUGGAAAAGUAUGUGCAUGUAUGUGCGUGAUUCUUUUUUCUUUGAUGAAUUCAUACUCCAACAAAAAAAACAUCACACUUCAUAAAGCACACCGUUUCAUGUAACAUCUCAAUUACAUACGACGCACUUAUAUAAGGAUAUAGAGAUCGUUCUCCUAGAAUCACACUAAUAAAUAGUCUCUUCCUUGACAUUAGUGAGUUGCUUUAGGAUUGAGAAGAAGGAAAAAAGUGGAAAAAUUCUAUUGAGACAAAGAUAACAAAGACUUGAAUUAUUUGCUUAAGAGGGGUGUAAAAUCCGUAUCUUUUUAAAGCUUCCAUGGUAUAAUUCUUUUAUGAACGUUUUUCUUUUACUGUGUUCUUGAUAUAAAGAAAUCAAGAUUAAUGAUGUUUUAGUGUUGCUCCCUUUAAUGAAGAGUGUUACAUUUUAGACACUAAAUUAAUAACUUAUCACACAUGUUUGAUUAUAAUAUGAAUUGUUUCUCACUCCCUCUGACCCCCCUAAUUCUCAAAACGGCUAAACGCCACCAUCUCUCACCCAAAAUCACUUUGAUACUCACUUACACUUUUUAUUCAUUUUCCCUAAAUCUAAUUAAAUUUAAUUUAUAAAUUUAUUCAAUUAUUCACGUUCACAUUACCGUGAUCUCACUGACUUACUCUUUUUUUAUUCAUUUUUCCUAAAUUUAAUUAUUUCUUGCUCCCACUAAGAAACAUUUUUAGAUACGUCAAUAAUUGUAGGUGUCAAAAGUCAAAUGUAUUUUUGUAAAAAAACAAAUCAUUUUAAUAGCAAUUCGAAGAUUGACUAGAGUGAGCAUCUUUUUUGUGUUUUGAGUAACAAAUGUUACCAUAUGGGUAACUAUGUUAAGGUUGCUUCAACCUUUAAUUUUUGUUGCAGAUAAGCAUGCAGAUCUAGCUACUAGGAAUUCGAGUUAGAUUAUUACUCAAAAAUUGGGUACAUGUAGCGCCUUUACUGAUUUUAUAUUGUAUAAUUAAAAAGCCUUCAACAUUGCCGAAUGGAAAGAAUAAUGCUUCUUGUUCAGAGAGCAGAACUUUUUUUUCCAUACAAAAUUAUUAAAUUAUUUUAUUGUUUUUCCUUGUGUCGUUAAAAGUCCACAGAAUGAGAUGAAGAUUAAGAUUACAGAAUUGGAUGAGACUGUAUCUAUUUGAGGGCCACAAUUUCCUCUUUAGAGAAGAGAGAAUUGCAUUAUGGACUUUGCUUUGUAGCUCUUCCUAUUGAUUGUAGUGCUGCCAAUGACACCCUUCUUCAUUUGUGCACUUGAAAUUUCAACUUCUAUAAAACAUUUUGAGCUAACAUGGCAUAAGUAAACUUUAUGGGAAGAGCAGUGAAGUACAAAUAAUUUGGACUUGCAUUUUGCCAAUAAUAUUAUUGACUUCAUAUUGUCAUUGUAAUUUGUGAGUAUACUGAUACUCUCCUCUAUAUGUUGUUUGAUUCCGUUGCUUUUAUCAUUUUUAUUUUCCCAGGCUUCACAAGAUGAAGUUGCAAUGGAGAAAGAAAUGUUGGCAAAUGAAUUCAAAUGCUUUCUGAAACAAUUGAAAAGUUAGAGAUGAUCGAGAUCGAUAACAGGUACAAGUUCAAGCUUUGACUGGAGAUCAGAAAAUUACAAAGAAUAUACGAGGAAAUCAUGUGCAUAGUUGGAUACCUUAACGAUUAAAACAAAUGAUCUUGAUUGAGGUUUGUUGCAUUGCUUUGUCUCUCCCGGUUGGUUAUUUUGAUCCUUUCAGUUAUUCAUGCAUUUGCAGUCCGCAAUGUCAAGGUAUUUUGGUUCUCCACAACCGCAAUUGUGAUUACAUAAGCCUUGUUUUCCAGCAAUUGUUUACAAUAUAAAGGUUUUCUAGCUCACCGCAAUACAACUGCAACGAUUUAUAAAAGUUAGUAUCUUUCUUUAUAGGAGACAUGUUCUCAAAGGGACCAAAUAAAUAUGCUACAACAACAAGGUUAUUGGAUUUUUUGGACUCUCUUCGUAUGUGGAGUAAAGACCUAAAUGAAAAGGUUUAUUUUGUCUCAUUUAUUUGAGUAGAGAGAGUCAGAUUAGACAGAGACUCAUUUGAGAGGAAAAAAUUACAAAACAUUGAGAGAGAAAGAAAAGGAGAAAUUAUUGUGAUUUUUGUAUACCUAUGAGAGAGCGUUUUGCAGAUUUCACCUACGGAUUCCUUCACCGUUAGAUUAGGGUGAUUUUUGGAUAGUGAGUUCUAAACACGUGACACUUCAAGUUGUACGGUUGGAUCGUCAAAAAGAUAUUUUAAGAGAGAGAUAAAUGUUUUACAUUCUUUGCUCUAUGUUUUGGGUUUCAUCUUCUUGUCUAUAUUGUACCAAUUGGAGAUUUGUUUUGAUUUGGCUGUUCGUAGCAUGUUUCAAUGUACUUGUUGGAGACUCUCUUGUAUUUUUAUUGAUUAUACUUAAGUUAUUUCUUUGGUCUGGACGACUCGUGGUUUUUACCCUUGUAUUGAGGGGGUUUUCACAUUAAACAAAUUGUGUCUCUGAUUUUUCUUAAUUUCUAUUUUGCACUCUAUAUUUUAUUGGUGGUCUUCACAGGUUCUUGCAAGUUGGAAGAAUUUAUUUUCACUGCCUAUUACUCUAUUAUUGAGUUUGUUAUUAUGUUGGCAUGCUUGUUUUCCCAUCAGAGUGGUAUCAGAGCUCUUUGGUUAAGGGGUUAUUUUUCUACUUGCUUGAACGAUGAAGGCACAUAUGAAGACGAUAUCAUUGAGUGGAGCAAACUAUCACUUUUGGAAGGGCAAGAUGAAGGACUUUCUAUUUGUGAAGAAUAUGCAUCUUCCAGUCUUUGACACACAGAAGCCAGAUUCUAUGUCUGAUGAAAAAUGGGGUUUUGAACACGAACGUGUAUAUGCUUUUAUUAAACACUCUGUAGAUAAACCCAUUUAUAAUCUUAUUUCUCCUAAGACACAUGCGGGAACUAUGUGGCAAACUCUUGAGUCCUUGUAGGUUUCUAAAUCAAGGAGCAACAAAUUGUACCUGUUGAAGAACAUUGUUGAAUUGAAGUACAAGGAUGGAACUCUAUUUACUCAGCACUUCAAUGAAUUUAAGGGACACUGUGAUUAGUUGUCAGCCGCAGGUAUCAACUUUGAUGAUGAUGUGUUGUGAUUGUUUUUAUUAAUAACUUCACCUGAUUCGUGGGAGACAUUUCGGGUUUCCAUGAUUAGUGUUGCCCCCAAUGGUAUUGUUCCUUUGCAAAUGGCAAAGACUAGUGCUCUUGAUGAAGAGAUGAGAAGGAAUGUGUAAGGGACUUCUUUUCAGUCAGAGGUGCUUAUUACUGAAAAUAGAGGGAGAAGCCAGAAGAAGAUGAUCAAGGGUAAUAGAGACGAGAGUAAGAGCAAGUCUAGGUCUCGGUACAAGAAUGUUGAGUGCCAUUAUUGUCACAAAAAUGGCAUAUCCAGAGGAAUUGUUUUCUAUGGAAGAAGGAGAGUAAAGACAAGAAGAGUAAGCAAAAAGAGAAGGAUCAUGAUGAUGGUCGUGUGACCACUACUACUAGUGAUGAUCUUGUUAUUCUUCAUGACCUAAAUUCGAUUAAUCUUGUAUCUGAUGAAAUCAAAUGGAUAAUUGAUAGUGGUGCUACACUGCAUGUUACAGCCAGGAAGGAGUUCUUCACAUCUUACACUCCAUGUGAUUUUGGAGUCUUAAAGAUGGGUAAUGAUGGUGUGUCCAAGGUGAUUGGUGUUGGUGAUAUUUGUUUGCAAACCAACAUGGGAAUGCAAUUGCUACUUAGAGGAGUGAAACAUGCUCCACUUGUACGCUUUAAUUUGAUCUCUGUGCAAGUACUUGAUGAUGUUGGUUAUGAUAACCACUUUGGUUCUAAAAAGUGGAAACUCACCAAGGGUAACUUGGUUGUGGCCAAGAGGGAGCAAUUUCAAAGUUGUAUUGGACGAAAGCUUUGGUUGCUAGAGACAAUGUGAAUGUUAUGGAUAUGGAGGCAUCUUUGUGGCACCGAAGGCUUACUCAUAUCAGUGAGAAGGGGUUGAAUUGUUUAGCCAAGAAGGAUAUGCUUUUAGGAUUAAAGAAUGCAGAUUUAGAGAAAUGUUCUCAUUGCAUGGUUGGUAAGCAAACCAAAGUAUCCUUCAAGAAGCAUCAUUCCUCCAGAAAAUCUGAGUUGCUUGAAUUGGUACAUUCAGAUUCCAUAGACAAUUGUUCUAAACAUCUUCAUUUCAAUCCCCAUACAAUCAAGCUUUGAGUUAACUUGAGCCUUCCACAUUGUCUUAUCUUCCUCUCUUUCAAAUUGUCUUCUUUGUUCCAUGGAAAAUGUCCCAAGUGAAUCAUCAACUCCAAGUGCUUCAAUCAAUUGAUCAACCCAAAUAAAGUACCCACAAUAUCCAACUUCAUCCUGAAAAGCCCCAAAUAGAAACCCUAAAUCAAAACCCCCAAUGUGAAAUCAAAACCCUAAAUCAAUAAAUGUGAAAUAGACAUACCUUAUUAAUUGAACAAGUGAAAAACGCCAUUCCUCUGUUAAUAUUUGUUCCAGCAACACGCCUAACAGCCCUUCUACCACAACCACAAAAAAGAACAACUUGUGAUGAAACUCUUGUUCGAGAUGAUGAUGCAUUGCUCUUCUGCGACAUUGUUGAUAGUAAGAGAGAACGAAAUGGUGCGAUUUUUGAGGUAUAUUGAGAUGAUUAGAAGUGCAAAUAUGGAGGAGGAGGAGAAGAGGGCAUAGGUUCUGUUUAAGGGUUAUGUUAAAGAAGAAGAAGAAGAGGAUAUAUGAGGGUUUUUUACUUUCGUUUUGAUCCCUCAUUUCAUUAAAAUAAACGAAAUUAGAAAUAAAAAAUUCAGAUAAUCAUGUCUGUGUGACACUUAACGAGCCACAUCAGCGAUAACUGACGGCGUUAACUACUCCAUUCACGGCAGGGACUAACGUGACUAACAGAUUACACUUUCAGGGACUAUUUUACAAUUUAUCUCGAUUCAGGGACCAAAUUGACAGCGAGUUACACUUUCAGGGACCAAAAUGACUAUUUACCCUAAAUAUUUAAAUAGUAUUUGUUGAUUUUUGCUAAUAGUAGUUACUAGUUAGUGCAUCUUGGUUGAUUCUGCUAUUUUGUUCUUAUUUUCCUAACUACAACUAAAACCAUUAUUAUUUUCAUCUCGUUAGACAGCUGAUUUUUCUGCUUUAGAAAUAAGAACAGUGUUCGGAGAUCAGAAAAGAAUUAUACGUGAACUCCAGGAACGAGUGGCAGAGAAAGAAUCCCAAGUAAUUGAAGGGGAGAAGUUAAGCAAAAAAUUGCUAGCCUGAUAGGAGCCUAAUACUUAUAAAAUACGCAAAGAGUACUUUCUAUUGGCUACGGGGACUUUGUUUUAAUGCAACAAAAUUUCGUGAGUGUAGCAAAAUCAAAAUUGUGUAAACUGUUCUGUUUAUUUUCAGUUUUUCUUUUUGGCAACUGUGACGAUAUUUUAACAAAAACACUAUCUAUCCUUGAAGUUAAGCUUAUAUUUUUCUUAUUCUUUUUUCCCUAUUUAAAUACACGUUGUUGAAAGCUAUUUUAACAACUGUGACAUGAAGGUGCUUGAAUGAAUUUCAGAUGACCACUAUUGUUCAUUUUCCAACUAAAUUUAAUUCAGAAUAAGACGCAUUGACGCGUUUGAUUCCAUUAGAAAAAUGUUCCAUUACAUAAGAAUACAAUGUGUCCCUCUUGUUCCAGGUCUGUAGGAAGCACAAUGUGUAAUGAACAUUUAUCAUGAAGUCACCUAAUGUUUCCGUUAGCAUUCCUCAUUAUUGUUUCCGUUUACAAGUUAGAUAACGUAUCUAUUGAACCUAAGGCUGAGAUUUCGUGACUGCGUUGGAUGAUAAUUGACUAAGGGUAAUUGGUCUUGCUAUUUAAAUUAUAAGAGUGAAAAAACUACACUGAAAGUAGUCUGAUAAUACUCACACGUGGAUGGAUACUAAUUAAUGACAAUCUUUAUAGUAUUAUGGAUGGUUCCAGUGAAUUGAUUUUUAUCAAUGAUUAGAAGCAGCCAUUAAAGAGAAGUACGCAAAUGGUAGGCUCUAGUUUAAAGGUUUCAUUUAGGAAUCGUUUGGCCUACCAGAACAACGGGAUAGAACUAAUUUUAAGAUACUCAAUACAAGAUACGAUACUACCAAUCCCAUUUCAUGAACGAAGACAAUUGUGUUUUAAUGAUGAUCAAAUUUUACUAAUUUUCUUAGAACGGGGCCUAAUUCAUUCCUUUACUACCGACUUACAUGCUUUGAUUUUGUGAACAUCUCACCUGAUCCAUCUUCAGCUGGAGAGUCACUUUGUUGUCUUCGUUCUGCCGCUUUAGUUGCGGCUAGAAGAGAGGCAGCACUCAUAAUCCAUAACCAAAAUAAUUGGCAAUUGUAAUGCUUUGGACGUGAAAAACUUUAUGCUAAAAUAACAAGAGAGAAAGGAAAAAUAAUGAAAACUAGAAAGUAAAAUGAUUUUAUAUAUUUUUUUCUUUUUUAAUGAAAAAGUCCAAAAAAUAGGACAAAUAGUCAUUUUUGUUUCUGAAUAUAUUGAGCGCUAACAAUUCGUUUCAAAAAUUGAAAAUAACAAGUGUGAUAAAUUCAUCUAUCCAUUAACUUUUGUCCAUUAUCAUUAAUGAAAUAGUCUAUUGUGACAACUAAGAUAGUGAGAAAAUCAAGUUGGGUCUCAUUUUUUUUUAAAGAUUAACUUAAUGAUUGUGUAUUUUUUUUAGUUUCAUAUUUUGCAUAAAAUAUUGUCAUAUUAAAACUUUUAGAACAAUAAAUCGCUUAUGUUUAUUAUUAUGUUUGUUUUAACUUAUAUUGAUUUUUCUAUUUUUUAAGUGUUUUUUGUAAUGUUAUGUUUGUAACGAUUAAAUAAGAGGAAGAUAGAGAUUAAAUUAUAUCUUAACUAAAUAAUUAUUUUUAUUUCUGAACUUGUACAACUGUGACAAAUUUGUCUUUGAAUGCAGAGCGUUGACAAAUUCGUCCAUUAAUGUCAAUGUCUCAAAUAAGCUCUUAAAAGUGAUGAAUAAAUUAGUCAUAGAUUUUUACUUUUGGGGCUAAAAUUUAAAUUUUUACCUUUCAAACAUGAAUUUGUCAAUCUUACAUAUUCAAAAACCAAAAAUAAUUAUUUAAAAAAAAUGUACAUAAAUUAAUAAAUAUAUUUCUCCUUUAAUAAAGGAAAAAUGAUAAAUCCUCCGAGACAAAGAGACCGAAAUAACUGCCGAAUUCAAAAGCUUACACUCACUUUAACUUUUUUUAAAAAGAAUUAAUUCCAAAUUUAUCCCUUGUUUCACAUCUCUCUUUCUCUCUCUCCUUUUUUAUUUUCUUUCUUUAGAUCGAUGUCAUCUCUUUCUAAAUUUUCAGUGAAAGACCCUUAUUCAUGGAUGAAUCUCUUGGGAUUGUUGUGACUUGUGAGCAAAGAAAUAAAGAAUCUCACCCACAAAAAGUUUACUUUCGUUCACAAUCUCAAAUAAAAAAUUGGUUGUUGUUGAGAUAGCAUUUGAGAAGACCACACUUCUUUGUAUUGUUUAAGAGAAUCACAAAGUGACGACAUGGUUUGAACUCAGAGUUUGGGAACUUUGGCUAUCAUUUCGUCGUUACCAACCCGAGGCACGAAGGUUCUGGAGUUCGUCAUUAAAAUGUUUAUGUCAUCUAAGUGGAAAGCUUGGAUGUUAUAUGCUCUUUGUAUAGUUUUGGGUUUAUGCCAUCUAAUCAAUGUUCUUUACUUGCCAAGAUCCACCAGCUAUUGUAACUUUUCUAAUAAUCCAAUGUUGACACUUCAACUGAAUAGGUACAAAUCACUAAGAAUGCCAAAUACAAAUUCAAUUAAUAUAUAAAACCAAAGUCUGUUAGAGUACACAAAUGUCACUUUCUACAUUUGUAGGCUUUGAAUCCCCCAGUUUUUGAAGUGUUCAUCCUGAAAUGUCGAUGGGGGUGGGUGGAAAGGUGGGAUCUUUUGGAGGGAAAGGAUGGUGGGUGAUUGUAUUGUUAAAAUUCGUUGGACCCAAGGAGAAGAAGCUAUGUGCAAGGGAGUUGCGGAGGGAAGUGAAGAUCAUGUAUUUAGUUGUGAAGAGAGAAACUGAGAAAAGGAAGAGAACAAGCGAAGUGAGAAGAGAAAAAAAUGAGAAACAAGUAAGAAAUAUGAAGAGAAGAAGAGCCGUUUGAUAGAAGCCAAAUAAGAUGAAAUUGAAAAGAAAUAUUUAAGUUAGUCAUUUUUUAGGUGAAAAAAAUAUUAUUACUAAAAAUACUAUUUUGUUCUUAUAUUUGAUAUUUUUUUAAUUGGUUAAAUUAUAAAUUUAAUCUUCUUUGUUUGUUUCAGAAUUUGUUCCCUUGUCACCAUUAAAAAACUGUCUUUCCAUGUGGCGGUGUCUACGUUGAUUGUCAAAAACCGAUGUAAUGAUGAUUUUUAUAAAAUCGUCUCUGAUGUUAACCUUUCAUAAAAACCAUCUUUGAUCCCAAAGGUCUUUUUUAAUUAUUUUAUUUAUUUUCUCUUUCAUUAAUUCACAACAACAACGUGAUGAACCUAAAGCUAAAAAGCUUCGAGAAAUGGGAUGCUCCUGAGGAGAAUGGCAGAGAAGGACGCAGAGGAAGAUUGGAGUUCUUUUCGGAGAAAGAAAACCAAGAAACACAACAACCACACCCUGGAGAAGGGAACACUCCAGAGAAGAACCCUCACUGUGUUACCGUGGUGUUGCCAGAGAAGGAUGCAGGGGGCGUCAAUUUCUUUUGCCGUUGUGGUGUUGUCAGAAAAGAAGCCCGUCGAGGCCGCGCGACACAGAGUGGAGAAGACCAUGAAGUGGUAACCUCUCUCUAUUUCCCCCCUUUUCACUUCUACUUAGGGUUAGGUCUCUCUCUCUCUCUUCAAUUCUUUAGGUUUUUCUUUAUGUUUCUUCCUUUUCAUUCAAUUUUUAGGGGUUGUGUAACUGUAAUUGCAGAAAAUUGUUGCAGAAAAUUGGUUCACGAUGGGCAGAAAAAAAACAUGAUGAACCUGUUGAAUCGCGUCGAUUAAGGUCAUUUUCGUUUCGUGCUUUCACUUUUGAACUCCUUUCAAUUUUCCUUUGGUUUUUCGUAAAUCAAGUUUGCUUUUUUACUUCCUAAAUCAAUUUACGUGUAACACAGAUUUCCGUUACAUGGAUAUACAUCUCAAAUUGCAAAUAACGAGAUUCCAUAGUUAUAUGAUUUUAUUAAUUUACUUUUUAUUUUAUUUAAAUCUACGUGUUUUUUUUAAUUAAUCUGAAGCUAAGUGCAAGGUGGAAUAAAGGCUAGUUUGAAACUUUAAUACAUAUAGCCCUUUCAUCAAUAAGCUCUCUUUUAUGUAUUAUGAAAAAAAUUUACAGCUAUGUAUAAUGAAAUAUUUUAGAGCAGCAGUGUUAUAUAUAUUUUCAAAAUAAGUUCGUGUUACCUUGAGUGCAUUGAACAAUUAAUACGAAGUUGUUCUAAAAUAAUAAGGGAUCUUGAGUUUAAAUUAUAGAUAUGUUUUUUUUAUAAGCCAAAAGUAAUAUUAUAGAUAAUAAGAGUAAUGGAAUACAAGAGUUACACCACAAAUGGCCAAAAAAUAUAUAAGGAAUGCUCCCAUCAGUGGACAACCCGGAUAGCAAAACAAUAGGAAAUAAAAAAGAAAGGUAUGGCUUGCUUCUGCAGUCUUUUCCAAUGACACUUUUUCAGGUAUGGCUUGCUUCUGCAGUCUGCACACUUUGAGUUGUGCUAAAAUUUUGGGGAGAAUGAAUUUGAUCUACUCACAAGAAAUUUGCAUAUGUAUAUGAUGUUAGUGAUGUCAUGAUAUUCACAAUUUUGUAAAUUGAUCUUCUGUAGCCUCGUACUGUUCGGCUGAAUCACCAUAGUUUGAAGCUUCUAAAAUAUUGGACAUGGCAGUUUGUUGUUGUCCGUCCAGUAUGUUCUGUUCUGAUGAUUGCAUUACAGCUAUGCGGGCUGUAUCCAACUUGGUUGAGCUGGGCAUUCACCAUCGUUCUCUACAUAUCUGUGUCGUUUGCCUUGUAUUCUCUGGUGGUCUUUUACCAUGUGUUUGCUAAAGAACUGGCACCACACAAACCUCUAGCUAAAUUCUUGUGCAUCAAAGGAAUUGUUUUCUUCUGCUUUUGGCAGGUAAGCUCAUACAGAAAAAAAAAAACCUAUUUUUACAUAUAGAAUCAAUACAAAUAAUUGGACUAGCUGAUGGUUCUCAACCAUUUUUCCUUUGUUUUUAUUUUUUAUUUUUUUCAUAAUGUUUAUACUUAUUUAUUUUGGUGUAGCCAACAAGACAAUAAACUCAAUGUAGGAAAUUUCAACCUGAAAAAGCAGAGAGGAUCAUAUAAUGCUUUGGGGGUUCAUGCCAAGGACAUACGUCAGGAGAAGACAAAGCAGAAUUUUGAAAUGGCACAAGAGAGCAUAAGACAGGUACGUCCACACUAGACAGUGAGGUCAAGAGAAAUCUGCAGAGUGAAAUUUCCUACAUUAUGAUCCUCUCUGCUUUCCCACACCAACUGAGUUCCUAAAAUGUUACUUGUCUCCAUUUUAAUAUUGUGCAGCUCAUUUAAGGUGUAUAGAAAUUAUCCAUUAAACUUUUCUAAAAUAUAUUGUUCACCUAGGAGUAUUAGCAACAUUAUCUCUAACACACAUUUUAUUAUUAUUUAAAAUUUAUUAAAAACUAAAAAAAUUAGAAGAAACACUCAUUAAAUAAGUUAGAUUUUUUUUUAUUUUUAAUAAAUUUUAAUCAGUAAUAGAGUCUGUAUUCAAAAAAUGAUAUUUAAGAGUGUAUUGUUAAUAUUUCUAAUUGAUUAUUUGAAUUAAAGUUCAUAAUACAUCACCUCAAUUUAGGAAUUAAAUCUAGAAGCUAUAAACAUAAAGUAUAUGGAAUAUAUAUACUUGGAGUAACAGGUACUCUAGCAUAUGGUUACAUUGGAAUUUUAUAAAGUGGCAGUAGUGAAUACUGAAUAGUCUUUACAAACAUAACACAAAAGGAUGUCUGAAGCAACUUGCUAUUUGUGCAGAUGCGAGAACUCUUAGGAGAGCUAGUCAUGGUUGAGGGUGAGAUAGCGAGACUUAAAUCCCAAAUAAGCCAACUCCAAGAUGGUUUGAAACGUGAACAAGAAGUCACCAUGGAAUCAAAGCCUAAAACGUGGAAUCAAGGGAAUUUGACCAAUUCUAACAAUCACUUAUAAACUUCACCGGUUCCAAAUCCUAGUCCUAUUUGCAGAAUUUUUCAAGAAAGGAUGGCAUUUGAAACCAAGGCGUUGCAUUUCAUAAGCAAAGCUAUAAAGGGCGAUUAUAAUCUCAAUGACUUCAGUUAUAAUGAUAAAGCAGGGUUUUUUAAAACUUCUGUCGAACAGAAAGAAAGUAAGUUCCAAGAUGUGAAAUUUCAAGAAAAACUUCCUAGAAAAAAUGGGAUAGUGAAGCCUCCUUCACCUAUGCGUGACCCCCGCCAUCCAUCACCCAAGGUAUGCAUGCCCAUUUUCCCAUUCAUGCAUGUAGCUUUAUUUUCCUUAGCCAAAAUAUGUUUUGGCCACAUUACCAUAGUGUGGAUAAAUUUUGUAUGGUUCGGGAUCAUCAUGUUAUCUGUCUAUAAUUUUGGUUUUAAGAUUUUGAACGUCAAACAUGAUCAAUUUUUUUAAUUUAUGAGUUAACUGUGUGUCACAUAAAAAUCAAUCAAGACCAUAAAUAUGCAAUAGUUCCUUAAUCAUAUAAUAAUUUCUCCGGUGACACCAAAGUAAAAAGGGAAACAAAUCUCUUGAUGCUCCUCGUAAAGAUCAACUUGUGUCUUUCAAAAUAAAAUCCAUCAAAUAAAAACAAUCAAAAUUUAUUCCAUUUUGGUCGGCUCGGCUACUUGAAUCAAUAAACAUCAUGUAUAUUAUCACCGCACCACCACUAGGCCGACCGUAGUGGGUCAAACAUCAUUUGAAUUCUAUCGUUACUUCAUAAAGUAAUAUUAAAAUUUAAAGCUUGGAAGAGAUAUUGUUGACAACAGUGUGUGAAUUUGCUAAUUACUAUUUUCAGUUGCGGGAGCGCAAUCCAGAGAUUUACUUGGAUCUCCCAACCAGAUCACUUUGGAUCCACUUCUGUCAGAAGAGAAUGAUCUCAAGUGGCAGCCCAACAAGCUAUCUGAGAGCAUCAUGAAGUGUUUGAAUUUCAUAUAAGUGAGACUUAGGCAUAUUCACCUCCAGCUCUAUGGAUCCCAAGUUCAUCUCAAGUCCAUCCUCUAUACCAUUACUAAGGAAGUUAAGGUAUGGCAUGGAUGAUGUGUAUAUUUACGAGAAAAACCAACAUUGACAACUUUGUAAGUUCUACUAGACAAUGAAGUGGCACAAGGACUAGUGAAAAUAAUUCAAAGUAACAUUUUUGUUUCUUGUGGUCUACAGGAUCUUGAUGAGCAAUCUUCAAACUGUUGACUUGAAAAGCCUUACAAACCAACAGAAAUUAGCAUUCUGGAUCAAUGUGUACAACGCUUGUAUCAUGCAUGUAUAGUUGAAAUUUCCCUUUUUUCUUUCUUUAUUAUCUUUGUAGUAACAUCAGAUUAAGUGUUGUUUAGGAAUUUGAUUCAUGACCAAAUCUGAUGAAUGAGAAUUCUAGGACAUGGAUCAGGACAAUGAUUAAUGUAUUGUUUGUUUCAGGGAUUUAUCCAAUAUGGAGUGCCAUCUACCCCAGAAAAACUACUUGCAUUGAUGAACAAGGUACAUUAAAAAUCUUGAUAUGGAUUUUACUUAUCAUGUGUGUGGCCUCUUGGAUUCUCCCCUGAUUUGGUGACAAGUGCCAUAAUUAAAAAGAAAAGAAAAUUAUAAUAUGAUUUUUUUAGAAUUUAAUUUUUCUAAUUUAUGAAAAGAUAAAUAAAACAAUUUGUUUUUGAGGUUCUUUGUGUUACAAAAAUUAUCUAAUUAAUUUAUUGAUCACAUCUCUCUUUGAAUUUGUUGUCCUUCCCUUUUUCUGGGUUGAACAUUUUAUCUGCUUCAUCGAACAACGAUUGCACAAUCAAAACAAUUAAGUCUGCAAAAAUGCAAGAAAAAUCGUCACUAGCUUAACUUAAUAAUUAUGAAGUUGCUUCAAAGACAUUGGUCGGGCUAUACCCAUGCUAUAUUAUUAUUGAUGUGGACCACAACAGUGUUUGAAAUAAUGUUAAAAUUAUCUACAAGACUAUAAUCAAUGUUGAUAGUUAUGUCUUUUUUUAAUGAUACAUGGUGCAUGAUUACAUGACUUGACUGUUUUCCUAUGUUAAUGUAAUGCAGAUAUAUUCUAAAAUGAUUGGAAAUGUUAUGAUAGAUGCCCGAUCAACUGGAAAAUAUUACCAUUGUAAGUACAUAAAUUUGAGAAACUCUUCAGAUCUAUAUAGCAAUUAAAGACUGAAGACCAAUGCUUAAUGUACCACCUUGGACAUUGAUUGUUGUUACUAUUCUCUACUUUAUUGCUUCUCUCUUCUUACAACAUGAACUGGUUCACUUUUUAAACAUUUUGCACUUUAAAACCACUGCUAUCAUCCAUUCUUAUUGUUUGAGGUCAACAAUAAUCGUUUGAUUUCUUUCCCCUAAUUUUUUGUAUAACUUUGAAAUAAAAACAAAAUGUUGGGAUAUUCCUCUAAACUGCCAUAUCUUCUCACACAGAUGUGCCAGCACCUGUUAUGGGAACAGGACCAUAGGUCAGUACUAAUUACACAGAUUUAGAAUUGAAUCUGCUGCUAUUUGUUUAAGAUUAUAUAUACUUUUUAUGUUACUGUCAAUUUAUAUUUGACUUAAAUACAUGAUUGCAAAUCCCCAGACAUUGUAAUGUCUUCAAUUCCUACUGAUAAAAAAAAAUACAUGUUGAUAUGAUUUUUGAAAUUCAAUAUUAUCUUACAUACAUGCAUGAAGUUUAGAAAUUCUAUUGUAUUGUUGAAUGAUCCAACUAUAUAUAUAUAUUGAUGUUUCCCAGCUGGCACAUAUGGUUGAUGUGUCAUCCGGUAUGCAUGUUGAAACAGCUUAUGACAUGCUAUUUUUAGUAUUAGUAUACAAGGCAGUAUAUACCAUUGUUAAAAGCUCAAACAGCUGAUGACAUGCUAUUUUUAGUAUUAGUAUGCAAUUUUGUAUAUAGUUAGCUACUACAAAUUGUUAUUUAAUUAUAAGUUAUGCAAAUUCUUAUUUAAUUUUGUAUAUAGCUUGUUUGUCUCAAUGACAAAUUGUUAUUUAAUUAUAAGUUAUGCAAAUUUACUAUAGCUAGCUACUACAAAUGUAAAUGAGACAUGGUUGAUUGCUGAAAUGUUUUGGUAAUUUGCAUAUGUUGUUACGGGCUGAAUUCCACGAACCAAAAAAAUAAAAACCACACAUUCUACAUCGGUUUUUUGACAACCGAUGUAGAUCCCUCAUAAUACUAAGACAACCACACAAAACAACCGAUGUAGAAUUAACUCAUUGUGGGCAACAUUCUACAUCGGUUGACUGAAAACCGAUGUAGAUUUGCCACCAUUCAAUGUAGAAUAUGCAUCAUUCUAAGGCGGCUUUGACACGAGGCCCGCCUUUCUACAUCGGUCCACCAACCUUUGUUGUAGGUGGUGAGUUUUUAACGACUCCGGCUACAACAACGAGUCAUAACCGAUGUUGAAACUGCCAAAUAACCGAUGUAGAAAACGUAAUUUGUAGUAGUGUAUAAUUUAGUUUACGAAUUUAGUCCUCCAAUUUUUUGCAAGCUCGUUAUUUCAGUCCUCAAUCCCAAAAUUGAACGUUGCGUGUUAAUUGAUUACCUUGACCGUCACAUGUCACGUUUUUAUUGGACGUUGGUUGCCACAUGUUGCGAUUUUAUUGAAGGUUGACGUUAAUUAGGUGCACAAAAUUAAUGUGCAUUAAAAGCACGACACUUGGCGGUUAACGUCCAAUAAAAGUGUGACACAUGGCAAUCAAGAUAAACAUCCCAUUUUGGGGUUGAAAACUGAAAUAACGGGAUUGCAAAAAAAAAGUAGGGGACUAAAUUCUUGAAUUAAAUUAUAGGGAAACAAAAAUCGAAUACUGAGACAAAUAAGAAGAAUAAAUUUGCAAUUUAGCCAUUCUAAUUUUAUGAUUGGUUUAUCAUCAAUAAAGGGAAGUUUGAACCAUUAAAAAAAGUAUGUGUUGGUUUUUCAUCAAUAAUAUUCUGCGUUAGCUUAUCUAAUGAAUCUUGGGAGGACAUUUAUCCUUUUCCUUGUUUAUUAUUAUUAAUUAUAAAUAAAUAACUUGUAUCUUGAGCCAUCUUUCAUUUAUUUUUCUUUUCAAGAUAUUUUAUGUGGGAUAAAUAAUCAUUUUUGUCUCUAAAUAUGUAGAACGCUGACAAAUUUAUUGUCGAAAGAUGAAAAUUCAAAUUUUAGUUUCUAAAAGUAAAAAGUAUAUGACAAAUUCAUUCAUCCGUUAACUUUCGUCGUUUGUUAACGUUAAUGAUGAAAGAGCUUACGAGACACAGAGAAACAAAAAUAUCACAAAAAUGAUUGUUAACAUGACUGUUGAAUAAAUUAGACAGAAAAUGUCAGUAAGUUUGUGUUGGACCAAAAUGCUAGUAAGUUUUCAUUAGACUAAUUUAUCAGAUCUCAAAUUUUGUUUCAUUGAAGGGUAAAGAUGUAAUUUAAUUCUUCAUCCCCCCGCCCUCUUUUUUUUUUAUCAUUUCUUGUAUAAUAUUACCAUAAACACUUUAAAAAAAUAGAGAAACAAAUAUAAAUUACAACAAAUAUAAUAAUAAAUAUACUAUUGAUUAAUAAAUACUUACAAUUUUUGUCUAACUUGUAAAAAAUGAAAAAUUAAGUUAAUCUUUACAAAAAAAUAAAACCCAACAUUAUGAUUAUUAAUCAAUAUUAUACUUAUUAUUAUAUUUGUUCUCACUUAUAUGUUUGUGUUUCUAUUUUUUUAAGUACUUAUUGUAAUGUUAUACUUGCAAUCAUAAAUAAAGGAAGGAAUAAAUAAAGAAAUGAAAGAUUAAGAUUAAAUUAUAUUUUAUACUAAAACAAAAUUUGAGGUGAAACAAAUUAGUGCAAUGAAAAUUUAUUGACAUUUUAGUCCCAUGAAAACUUACUAAUAUUUUGGUCCAAUCUAUUCAAGAGUCAUGUUGACAAUUAUUUUUGUGAUAUUUUCGUCCUUUUGUGUCUCGUAAGCUCUUUCAUUAAUGGUAAAGGAAGAAAGUGAACAUAUGAAUAAAUUUGUCACACUUUUUUAGUUUCAAAGAUUAAAAUUUGAAUUUUCAUUUUUCGAUAAUGAAUUUAGCAGUGCUUUACAUGAUAAAAAUGAAUAUUUUUCCUAUUUAUGUGAUCCAUUCAUUGUGCAAGUGUUUCCUCUAACCAGAGUACUAUGACUAUCAGACAAUAAAAAAAAUGUUGACAACAAAUCAAGUGCGGUGAAGAACAAAGAAAGAAAUAGUUAGGACGCGAUGGAGCGAACAAGAAGGGUUACUUCGGUAAAAUGUCGCAAUUUCGUUGCUCGUCCUCGCCUAUUAGAGAGGAAGUUCAACGGCGUAGAUCCCACAUAAUUUUUUUAUGCUUUUGCGCAUCUUUGCAUUUCAUUGCUCUUCUUCGCUCCUUCUUUGUGGUACCAAAUGACUCUGUAAGCUUUCUUCAGAUUCUCUUUCAAUUGAAAGAUGGAUAUAACUGGGAAGAGAAAACAUUUUUCAAAAAUUAAAUUAAUUAAUAUUUCAAAAUUUUAAAAACUUGACAGGUGUCAACUUUAUGUAAUUCGAUGGAUUAGUUAGCUAAUUUUGUUCGGGAGAUAUAGCUGAUCUCUUAAUAUAAAAAAGUAAAACAGACAAAAAGUAUUGAUAUUUUAGAGGUUUUUUUUAUUAAAUUAAAGGUGUUUAUUAGUCCGGACCGAUAAACUUUCAAACUAAACUGAUUAAAUUGAUUUAGAUUUUUUCUUUUCAAAUUCGAGUUCAACUUGAAUCAAAUCAAUUAGUAUCAUGAAAAUUGAUUUGAAUGUUGGAUUGAAAAUUUUUAAAUUUAAAUCAAUUCAAAUCAAACCAUAUAUAUAUAUAUAUAUAUAUAUAUAUAUAUAUAUAUAUAUAUAUAUAUAUAUAUAUUAAUUUUUAUUAUUUUUAAAUGUCAGAAUUACUUAUAUUUUUAUGUUAUGUAUUUUUUUUACAUUUUAUAGUCAUCACACACUCCAAAUGACACCCAAGGCAGUGAAUGGGAUUUGCAACCAGCGGAAGAAAUGUGGUAGAGGAUUUGGACGUCGGUCAGAGUUGGAAUGAAUGAGAAUGGAUCUAAGUUCUAACCUAUUAUUAUUAUUAAGUUAAUUGUUUAUUUCUUAUUUACAGAGGUUCAUUAGGUUGUCUAAUCUUUUUUUUCCCGAAGAUUUCGAUGAAGAAAUCAAAUGAUCAAACCAGACUUAAAGAUCCUAUGUUUAAUGACUUCGAAGUUCAUGUCAGAAAGGAAAACGCCAUGGUUUAUUGACAGAAGGUAGUGAAAUAAUUGGAGAGUUUUAUGAAAUUUCAAUUUGUGGUUGAUUGACUUUAAUAUACCGGGGCUGUGAUUGUUUCCUUAUUAGAAAUAGGUUUAAUGAAAAAGUUAAAUCCCUUGAUGACUUCUUUUAUAUAUAUAUAUAUAUAUUCGCAUAAAUUGACCGGCAAACAAUUUCAAUUAUUUUUCAUUAAUUUGUAUUUUAUUCUUGUCUCUAAAAGAAAUUAAUUUUAAUAUAUUGUCUUUUAAUUUAUUUGUAGUAUUUGCUUCUUGAUUUAUGUCAAAUUAUAUUAUCAAAAGCUGCUCAUUUUAUUCAAUUAUGUAAUUUUGAAGGCCAAAAUGAAUUUGCAAAUUCAAGUAAUAAGCAUUAUGAUGUUUCCUUUGAUACCAACAUCGGAAUGCUUGAUUGGGAUUUUUUUUCGUGAUGUUGCCUUUAAUCAUAGUUCAAGGUUAAUUUUUUAUUUUUCUUUAUAUUACCAAGAGUUUUACAAGAUGCAAUGAGUAGUGGUAUAGGUAUUAUGAACCAGUUUUAGUAACACACAACAAAUGUAGUUCACAAGAUUGAGUUAUAUUAUGCAUUGGAGAUACAAGUAUUCACGAUCCAAUCCAAACCGAAUUAAAUUGUAUGAAUUGAAUUGCAAAGUCGAUAAGUGAAUUAAUCGAGACUUGAAUUAAUUGAAAAUAAAAAAAUUGCAAAUUUUAAUUGGAUUGGAUCAAUUUUCAUUUCACCUAGAGAGAACUAAUCCAAUCCAAAUCGAAUAGAAGUGUUUUGCACAUGUAGUACAAAUAUUGACUUGAAAUUACCCUUUUGUCUUACUAAAAUGUUAUUUUUCUAUUACAUCCUUUACCCUAGUAUAAUUUUCACUAUUUGAGAGUGACAAACCCUCCAUCACUUCCUAUCUUCCUCUUACAUAUCCUCUCUUCCAAACCCUUUUUCCUUUUCUCAUAGACUCAAAGAAACCCUUAAGUCCUUAUUAUUUCGCCUUGUCGUUGACCUCAUGAAGACGCCAACUAGUCACGACAUUGCCAAGUGCCAACCUCGCGUAGGAGUCGCACCGUCGCCAACCUCAUGCAACAGUCGUGUUGCCGCCGACCUCGCACACUAGCUACACCUUCAUGGUGUCGUGCACCAAUUGCACCUUUGUCAUGUCGCGCACCAGUCACAACCUGUACCCUCUUGGCCUCUCUUAUCCUUAAACUUGCACACUAGUUGUUGUUGUCGAACACCCUCGUUGGUGGUUCUAUUCAGUAUCGUGUGAGCCGCUUUACCAUAAAUGUAUGAGGUAACGAUUUAAGCAUAUUGAUAACCGCUAAUUAUGAGUAUAUUUUUGGGUUAAAUUAUAUAUAAAUUUAUAAUUUUUCUCUCUCAAUCCUUCAUUUUGAGCAAAUAAUUAUUAAAGUAACAUCGUUUAAGUUUCUGUGCAGAAAAUAUUAAAAGUGAUGAAUUUAUGAUACUUAGUGAGUAAAAUAAAGCAAAAAAAAAAAGCAUGAUAAUUCUGGAAAGCAGGGAUAAUUCAGGAAAAUAGGCUAAUUAAGGAAAGGAAAGCUAAAUAAGGAAAACAGACUAAUUCAGGAAAGUACUCUUGAUGUAAUUUCUCUUCCUAUCUAUUUAUGAAUACUACAUUUGCAAUUUACUGAGAAAGUAUUCAGGAAAGUAUUCAGGAAAUGUUAUUUUCUAAUAGAACUGAGAAAGGAUAUCUAAAUAAAGUCUUUCUUAAGGAUAAGUUGAUAUUUGUUUAGCCUGUUAUACAUAUCUAUUUUUAAUGCAAUUUACUAUUUUAAUUCUAUAAAGGAAUUUGAGAGAAAAAAUAAAUAAAUUAGGCUAUUUCAUGCGAGGGGCCAAAGUUAGAGUAUAUUAAUAAAUGCAGGUGUAAAUUGGAAUAAUUAUAAAUAAAAAAAAAUCAUUAACAUUACAUCAAUGAGUAACUCUGAUAAGAUAAGUUUUCAUAAUUCUCAUCUUUUGAAUUUAACUUCUAUUAUAAUUGACUAUUCUUUUCCUCUCUCUUUUUAAUUAAUUAACUUAAAUUCUUGUUUAAUUUCUCUUUUUGUUUGAUUUAAUUUUCUACCAAUUUAAAUCAUUCUUUUUUCAUAACCUUUUCAAAUCAAUUUUCUUUAACCUCUUUUAUUAAUAAAAUAUUCAUCUACUUAAGUACAAACAAAAUUCCUAUGCAUUCGAUACUCGGACUUCCGUUUUAAUUUUAUUACUUGGAACGAAUUUGUGCACUUGUCAAUCCAUCAACAUAUAUUUGAUGUAAUUUUUAUUUGAGAUCACCAUUUAAUAAAAUUUUAAUUUGCUUGUUUUUUUAAUGCAAACUGAAAAUAUUGAAAUAGAGACUGAAAUACUUGAAGCUAAUGGGAAAGAGACCACUCCAAACAAGGCACAAAGCCCAAGAAUAACAACAAGAGGAAGGGUGAUGAGACUAUAAGUGAAGAAGAUGAUGGAGGUAAGAGGAAACCCACCAAACCUAGAUCUUGGUUAUGGGAUCAUUUUUCUAAAGUAGUUUGUACUAAGUAACAAUCCCCUAGAACUAAAUGUAAAUGGUGUUUUGCAAAAGUUAUGCAUGUGAUACACAUAAAAAUGGAACAAGUAAUUUGAAGAAUCACUUGUUGAAAAAGUGCAUAAAAUUUCCAAAAUGUACUAAUUCUAGCCAAACAGUUCUCAGUUUCCAAUAAUUAUAAAAAGAAGACAGGGAAGGGUUUGGUCAUACUUUUACUGUUGUUGCAUUUGAUAUUGAAGCAUGCAGACAAGCUUUUGCUAGGAUGAUUAUUGUAGAUGAGUUGCCAUUCAAGUUUGUGGAGGGGGAGGGUUUUCGGUAUUUUAUAAGUAUUUUUGCAACCUAAGUUCUCAAUUCUGGAAGGAUUAUUAUGGCUUUUGAUUGUUGGGAUCUUUAUUCCAAUGAAAAGAAUAAGCUGGAAAAAAAAUACUUAGUGCUAAAAAUCAAACAAUUUUUCUAACUAUUGAUUGGUGGAGUUCUAUGCAAAAUUUGAACUAUCUAUGUCUCACUACACAUUUCAUUGAUAGUGAAUGGAAAUUACAUAAAAGGAUACUGAAUUUUUGACAGAUCAAGAAUCAUAAGGUGAAACUAUUGGUAGGAAAAUUGAGAAGUGUCUUUGAAGUUGGGGAAUCUCUAGAGUUUUCACCGUUACAGUUGAUAAUGCAAGUUUCAGUGAUGUUGCUCUUUCUUACUUGAAAGUUAGAAUGGAGGAUUGAAAUGCUCAUCCUUUGAAAGGUGAAUAUUUGCAUGUUAGAUGUUGUGCUCAUAUUUUACAUCUUAUUAUUAGUGAUGGAUUAAAAGAGACACAUGAUUCAGUUACUAGGAUUAGAAAUGUUGUCAGAUUUGUGCAUUCUUCACCUAGUUGUAUGGAUAGGUUCAGAACUUUCAUAAAGGAUUGUAGGAUACAAGACAACUGCACUGUACAAUUAGAUGUCCCCACUAGAUGGAACUCCACUUACCUUAUGCUUGAAACUGCUUUAAAAUUUCAUAGGGCAUUUAAAAGGCUGGGAGAGCGAGACACAAAAUUUGCAAUGAUGCAGGGUGGUAUCCCAUUGAGUAAGGAUUGGGAUAAUGCAAGGGUGUUUGUGAGAUUUCUGAAAACAUUUCUUGGAAGUCACUAAGUGUCAGGUUCUUUGUUAUUCUCAAUAUUUUCAUGAAUAUUGCAUGAUAAUCAAUACUUUGAAAGAGUUUGGCAAAAAGUGCAUAUCCUUUUAUUGUGAGCAUGGCUGAAAGAAUGAAAGCUAACCAUGAUAAAUAUCGGGGGAGCAUUAAAACACCAACAUGAUGAUUUUUAUUGUUGUUGUACUUGAUCCUCAGCACAAGCUUCAAGUUGUGGAAAUCUGCUUUCGAAAGCUUUAUAUCAAGGAAGACGUUGAGUGUUUAAGAUUUAAAGAGAAUAAAACUUUCCACAAAAUGUUUAAUAGUUAUAAGGAUUUUCAUGGAGCUGUUGAAUCUGAAUCUACACAAGCUUCUCAUGACAUUGAACUUCUGAUGUAGAAGUAAUUGAUAAUUCAUUUGCAAUGGAGUUUGAGAAAGACAUGAAUAUGAGUCAGAGUAUGAAUAAGAAUGAGGUGGAUUUGCAUCUCAUGGAGACAAGUGAGAAGGCAACUCCGAGUUUUGAUAUCUUGAAUUGGUGGAAGGUAAAUUCUACUAAAUAUCCUACUCUUGCAGAAAUAGCCAAGGAUGUAUUGGCCAUGCCAUUGUCAACAGUUGCAUCACAAUCUGCAUUUAGCAUUGGGGUAGAGUUCUUAAUACUUACAGGAGUUUCUUGACUCCAAAGACAGUUGAGGCUUCAAUUUGUGCACAAAAUUGGUUCCGCUCCACUCCAUUAACAACUGAUAUUGAAGACCUUGUGGGAGAACUUGAAAAGAUAGAGCUAGGUACUUGACUUUUAAUUCUGUUUUUAUCCUCUACUGAGCACUUUAUUUAUUCAUAUUAAUUAUGUUUUUACCCUGUAUUGACAUGCUUUUAAUUCAAAUAUUUUAAAACUAAAUUCAAAUGCACAACCCAUUGAAGAUGAUUCUAGUGCUAAGUCAGAUUGAUUUUGGUUCUGCCAGCUGGUACAUUCUUACCUUGCCUUCAUUUUUUUUGGAUGUUGGUAUAUUUGGAAUAAUUACUACCUUUAUUUUGGAUAUUUUAUUUGCUGGUUUUGCUUGUAUAUGUUGCUAAUUCUGCACUUAAAUUUGCAUUGCCUUCAUUAAUUUCUUUGCUUGCUAUUAGACAAGCUUUUGUAUAAAUAUCGUUUGUUGGUCUUGCCUUUCUUUGUUGUUAUGCUUGUUGUUUAUUUGAGCUAUUAAAUUUUGUAUGGCUGGACAUGAAUGCUUGUUGGACCUUUCUUUUUUGUGUAUGGAAGCAUGAAGUAGUCGGACACUUCUUACUUUAGAAGAUGGAAGAUACCAAGAAUGCUACCAGAUUUAUUAAGAAUGCUACUUCCUAUUUUAUUAUGAAUUCCACUUGUUAUGUAUUUUGAAUCAUGCUACUUAUUUUGUACUUUUUUGGGAUUUUAAGAAAAUUUGAACCUUGUUGUUAGCAUUAUCAUUGAACUAUGAACUAGUGUUGUCAACUUAUUAUUGUUUUUAAAUCUACAUUCUAUAUGAUUUAGUUAGUAUAGUGAUAUAUUUAAAAGUGUGAUUAUUGAUUUAAAGUGUUUUAAAAAACCAAAAAUCGAAUUGAAUCCAUAAUGGAUUUGACUUUAAAUGCAAACCCAUCAGAUAAAGAAAUAAUAAAACUAAAAUAAUUGAAUCGAAUAAUUUUUCCCUUAAAACCAAAUCAAUCGAAUUAGUGAACACCUCUAAUUGCUAAGUUUGGAUGCAAUGGAUUCACAAUUCUAAAAUAUUACACAAGUGCAUACAAAGAUAUUAGUUUUGGUAUAAUGUAAGUGUAAAGUGAAAAAAUAUGUACUUGACAUCUUACUUAUCUUGAGGGUCAUUGUUUUAUGAACUUAAUAAUAAUAGUAAUUAAAAAAAAUAUAAAAUUUGAUUUGUUGUCUGUAACAAUUAUGUGUAUAUACAAUGUGUUUUUUUACUCUCUUGUUUGAAUAUAAUAUUAUGACUAUUUAUAUUUAAAUUUCAUUUAAUGAUAUAUUAUGUUAAAUAUUUAAUAUUAUUACAAAAUAAAUAUUAAAAAAAUUAAGCAUGCAUCACACAGUAACCUAACUAAUUAAACAUAUUACAGUUUGAUCAUAUUCAAAAUCAUUUCUCAUUAAUCUUCCCAUGAAAUCAAACACUUUUUUUUUUUUGUUUAACUAGUUUAUUUGAAAUCCAAUUAAAAAAAAGAAUUUAAAAAGUCGAAGCAAAGGAAUAAAAAAAAUUAGACGUUAACCGCCCGUUGGCAGAGUUGGACAUGAGUGGAGGGGUGCCUCGUGGACCCCGGGAAAGGUGCACAAACAAAACAAGUUCAAAAUUUGAACGGUAAAUAAAGGGCCCCACCGCUGGCAAAAAAAAAAAAACUAAAAACCAAUAAUUAACCACAAUUAAACCCUCACACCCUCCCGCUUCCAUAAAUAAACGAAAAAAAAGCGAAUCCAGCCACAGCACAGCACUCUUUGCAACACAACAAAAAAAGACAACACAGAGAGAAGCGUCUUAAUAAACGCUCUUCUCUGAAAAACCUGAUUUCUUCUCUUCUUCUCUUCUCUUUCGUUUCGAUCUUCGAUCUCUGAAAAUGAGAGAGUGCAUUUCAAUCCACAUCGGUCAGGCCGGUAUUCAGGUCGGAAACGCCUGCUGGGAGCUCUACUGCCUCGAACACGGCAUUCAGGUCUAUUUUCUCAACCCUAAAUCUCUGUAAAAAAAUUUAGCCUGCAUUUUUCCCGAUUUGAUUUGUUCGCGUUUUUGAGAUGUUAAAUCUGGAUCUGUUUACGCUGUUAGUUCUCUUUCUGCAUCUGAACCGUUUCUUCGCGACUUUUUUGUCGUAUGUGCGUAUUGUUUGUGUUUCGUUCUGUAUUGCUUCGGUGAUUUACCGAUCUGUGUGUGCUUUAUGUUUUACGUGAACUUUUCUUUCGUUUUUGUUCCGAUUGGUUCUCAGAUUUACACGCUAUGUAUUUUGCGAACUUUUGGAUCUGGUUCUCUGUUGUUCGAGUGAUUUGUAAUAUAGAUUUGAUGAUGAUGCCUUCUUUGUUGAAUAUAUUUAGUUUACAAUUUUGUUCAUGUUUAUCGUUGUAUUUCAAAUGGACGAAAAACCUAGAUGCAUUUCUCUAAGUGUUUUUUGUGUUGUUUUCCAACUGGAAUUUGAGUUUUGUCUUAAUAAUUUAUGUUUAUUAUGCUGAUAUUGAGAUGAAACUCGAGUUUUAAUUGAAAAAUACACCAAAAAUGCCUUGGGAAUCUCAGAUUUGUUCAUUUCGGAUCUGUGUUAAUUGUUAUGGUCUAUGGAUAUGAAUGCGGCCAGGAUUUGACUCUGGUAGUACUUUCUGGAGGAAAACCACCUAGUUUCGUCAUUCAAAUUAUUAUUAUUAUAUCUUGGUUUGGAAAUCUUAAUGUAUUCUGGUUGAGGAAAACUAGUAAAACUUUUUCAAUAUAUUUUGAUAAUGGAUAAAUUCUAAUGUGAGCUAUGUUGUAUGUGUUGUUUCAGCCUGAUGGGCAGAUGCCAAGUGAUAAGACUGUUGGUGGAGGUGAUGAUGCUUUCAACACCUUCUUCAGUGAAACUGGGGCUGGAAAGCACGUGCCUCGUGCGAUUUUUGUAGAUCUCGAGCCUACUGUGAUUGAUGAAGUUAGGACUGGGACAUACCG
rnacentral:lncRNA from 1 species